rnacentral:rRNA from 1 species
AAGCGUAUUAGCGGAAGUUUUCGGAUGGAAGCGGAUAUGACUUAUCUGCGGACGGGUGAGUAACGCGUGGAUAACCUGCCUCAUACAGGGGGAUAACAGUUAGAAAUGACUGCUAAUACCGCAUAAGCGCACAGGACCGCAUGGUCCGGUGUGAAAAACUCCGGUGGUAUGGGAUGGAUCCGCGUCUGAUUAGCUGGUUGGUGAGGUAACGGCCCACCAAGGCGACGAUCAGUAGCCGACCUGAGAGGGUGGCCGGCCACAUUGGGACUGAGACACGGCCCAAACUCCUACGGGAGGCAGCAGUGGGGAAUAUUGCACAAUGGGGGAAACCCCGAUGCAGCAACGCCGCGUGAGUGAAGAAGUAUUUCGGUAUGUAAAGCUCUAUCAGCAGGGAAGAAGAAAGACGGUACCUGACUAAGAAGCCCCGGCUAACUACGUGCCAGCAGCCGCGGUAAUACGUAGGGGGCAAGCGUUAUCCGGAUUUACUGGGUGUAAAGGGAGCGUAGACGGCUGUGCAAGUCUGAAGUGAAAGCCCGUGGCUCAACCGCGGAACUGCUUUGGAAACUGUAUAGCUUGAGUACUGGAGAGGCAGGCGGAAUUCCUAGUGUAGCGGUGAAAUGCGUAGAUAUUAGGAGGAACACCAGUGGCGAAGGCGGCCUGCUGGACAGAAACUGACGUUGAGGCUCGAAAGCGUGGGGAGCAAACAGGAUU